rnacentral:RNase_P_RNA from 1 species
GGAGUGGGCGAGGCGAUCGCUCGGUCGCCCCUUCGGGGGCCAUGGCCGGGAGGAAAGUCCGAACUGGGCAGGGCACGGUGGUCGCUAACGGCGACCCGGAGUGAUCCGAGGGACAGUGCCACAGAAAACAUACCGCCGGGCUGGUGUGGCUGAGUUGCGGCCAAAAAGGUGUCAGGAACCUUUUUUGAGGUCGUGGCUCCUGCGGUCGCGGCCUCACAAAAGGUUCCUGACACCUUUUUGGCCGCAACUCAGCCACACCAGCCCGGUAAGGGUGAAAAGGUGCGGUAAGAGCGCACCGCGUCACCGGUGACGGUGAUGGCAGGGCAAACCCCACCGCCAGCAAGCCCAAAUAGGCAGCGAGAGGCGGCCCGCCUCGUUUGAGCUGCGGGUAGGGUGCUUGAGCGGUCUGGCAACAGGCCGCCCAGAUGAAUGAUCGCCGUCCGCCUCGGCGGAUAACAGAAUUCGGCUUAUUCGCCCGCUCCGCCU